rnacentral:ncRNA from 1 species
AACCUGGUUGAUCUUGCCAGUAGUCAUAUGCUUGUCUCAAAGAUUAAGCCAUGCAAGUGAAAGUAUAUAUAUAUUUUAUAUGUAGAAACUGCGAACGGCUCAUUAAAACAGUUAUAGUCUACUUGACAUUUUUAUUAUAAGGAUAACUACGGAAAAGCUGUAGCUAAUACUUGCUUUAUUAUCCUUUGAUUUUUAUCUUUGGAUAAGUAUUUGUUAGGCCUUAUAAGAAAAAAGUUAUUAACUUAAGGAAUUAUAACAAAGAAGUAACACGUAAUAAAUUUAUUUUAUUUAGUGUGUAUCAAUCGAGUUUCUGACCUAUCAGCUUUUGAUGUUAGGGUAUUGGCCUAACAUGGCUAUGACGGGUAACGGGGAAUUAGAGUUCGAUUCCGGAGAGGGAGCCUGAGAAAUAGCUACCACAUCUAAGGAAGGCAGCAGGCGCGUAAAUUACCCAAUUCUAAAGAAGAGAGGUAGUGACAAGAAAUAACAAUGCAAGGCCAAUUUUUGGUUUUGUAAUUGGAAUGGUGGGAAUUUAAAACCUUCCCAGAGUAACAAUUGGAGGGCAAGUCUGGUGCCAGCAGCCGCGGUAAUUCCAGCUCCAAUAGCGUAUAUUAAAAUUGUUGCAGUUAAAACGCUCGUAGUUGAAUUUCAAAGAAUCGAUAUUUUAUUGUAACUAUUCUAGGGGAACUAUUUUAGCUUUUCGCUUUAAUACGCUUCCUCUAUUAUUAUGUUCUUUAAAUAACAAAGAUUCUUUUUAAAAUCCCCACUUU